CGGGACGACUGGAUCGCCGCGCCUGGGCCGGAGCGAGCCAUCUGCGGGCACUAUGCAAAGCGGGAGACGGCGCGAGCGGCGCCCGGCUCACACUAGCUCUUCCAGGACGCAGUGAUCUUUCCGUGGGAAUGCGGCAAGGAGGCAGCAGGCAUAGUGAAAAUGGGCGGCGAUGGAUACUCCCAGCACUUGCUGAGCACUGCUACGCCUCAGGACUGGGACAGAGAGAACCAUUCUCUGCUUUCAAUAGGACAGAAGAGCUCCUUGGCACUGGAUGCCUCUGGGUCUGGUUGAGAGAGGAAUGGUUAGGAGACUGUUCUGAGGAUACGCAGACAUCAUCCAAAGCUUCCUACAUUCAGAUGAGGACAGAGGUUGGGCCAGAGCUUUGUAUGCUUGUUACCUAAGGAUGGUUCUGACCAUGUAAGCAGAUCACAGAAGAUCAUCAUCAGCCAGAGGUGACUUCUGUUGCUUGCAGCUCAGAAUCCUAGAUGUUUCCGGUGGCACUGAAGAGCCUCUGCUGAAGCUCUAUACCAUUUGCCAUUUACAAAGGGAAAUGAGAUAAUAACGCUGACCAUUUGUGGAGCACAUUCUGUAUAUAUAGAAGCACUGAGGGACUUUGUUCUACUAUUCUGCACUGAAGGAACUUUCAGAACUUUCCAGUGCUUCAAGUUGGGGUCCGGUGAAAAAGAUUGAUCAUCAGAUGUUUCUUAUGUAUCAACCUGAUAUUUAAAUCCAUGAAGGAGAGAGAUGACAAAGGCAGGUGGAAUAGAUAGAGAAGAGAUUCAAGGUCUGAGCUCUACAUUACUCAAACUGUUAGAGAUUAGGAAGAAGAGGAAGACCUGGCAAAAGAAUGUCCUGGGAUGUAGAAAGAAAACCAGAAGCUUGUGUUCUCUGGAAACCAAAUGAAGAAAGGGCUUCCAGAAGGACAGACAGAGUGUAGUGUGUCAAAGGCUCCUGAGCAAUCAGAGGAGAGCCAAAGGGGCUCACAGGACUUUGGUAUCUGGAUCACCCAGUGACACUUCCUGAUCAUGAGAAACUGUCAGACCAACAGGGGCACUUUCUGAAACCAGCAGUUCUUCAGUGCCCAAAUGCAACCUUGAUGGUUUGAUUUUGGAGGAUGGCAAUUCAUUAACAGCACUCCCCAGUGAUAAAUAUGAAAACCAAUAAAACCCCCCACCGAAGGCAAUCUCUCCCAGCUGCUCCCUUUGAGUAAAGUGAGU